rnacentral:lncRNA from 1 species
AUGGAGUCCUUGCCUUUCCCCCGGCGCCUCGGCCCUGCGCCCUCGGCCACUGCCGCGCUGGCCGCCGAGCUGGUCCGGCCCCUGGCCGACGGGCUUCUCAAGUCGCCCAAGCCCUUGAUGAAGAAGCAGGCGGUGAAGCGGCACCACCACAAGCACAACCUGCGACACCGCUACGAGUUCCUGGAGACCCUGGGCAAGGGGACUUACGGGAAGGUGAAGAAGGCGCGGGAGAGCUCCGGGCGCCUGGUGGCCAUCAAGUCAAUCCGGAAAGACAAAGUCAAAGAUGAGCAAGAUCUGAUGCACAUUCGGCGCGAGAUUGAGAUCAUGUCAUCGCUCAGCCACCCCCACAUCAUUGCCAUCCACGAAGUGUUUGAGAACAGCAGCAGGAUCGUGAUCGUCAUGGAGUACGCCAGCCGGGGUGACCUGUAUGACUACAUCAGCGGGCGGCAGCGGCUCAGCGAGCGUGAGGCCAGGCACUUCUUCCGGCAAAUCGUCUCCGCCGUGCACUACUGCCACCAGAACGGGGUUGUCCACCGGGAUCUCAAACUGGAGAAUAUCCUCUUAGAUGCCAACGGAAAUAUCAAGAUCGCUGACUUUGGCCUCUCCAACCUCUACCACCAAGGCAAGUUCCUGCAGACGUUCUGCGGGAGCCCCCUCUACGCCUCGCCGGAGAUCGUCAAUGGAAAGCCCUACACAGGACCAGAGGUGGACAGCUGGUCCCUGGGCGUUCUCCUCUACAUCCUGGUGCAUGGCUCCAUGCCCUUUGAUGGGCAGGACCACAAGACACUGGUGAAACAGAUCAGCAACGGGGCCUACCGGCAGCCUCCUAAACCCUCUGAUGCCUGUGGCCUAAUCCGGUGGCUACUGAUGGUGAACCCUACCCGCCGGGCCACCCUGGAGGACGUGGCCAGCCACUGGUGGGUCAACUGGGGCUACACCACCCGUGUCGGGGAGCAGGGGGCCCUGAACGAGGGCGGGCACCCCAGCAGCGACCCCGGCCGGACCUCCGUGGCUCAGUGGCUGUGGCGCUCCUCCCGACCCCUCCUGGAGAACGGCGCCAAGGUCUGCAGCUUCUUGAAGCAGCAGGCGCCGGGCGGCAGGGCCCUCGCCCCUGGCCUGGAGCGCCAGCACUCGCUCAAGAAGUCCCGCAAGGAGAACGCCAUGGCCCAGACCUUCCAGGGGGCCCCGGCCACUGAUGCCUCCCCUCGCCCUGGGAAGGGUGGCCUCAAGCUGCCGAAAGGCAUUCUCAAGAAGAAGACAUCAAAUCCCGCAGAGGGGGCAACACAGGGCCCUGAGCCCGGCCCCAGUCCCGCCAACCCAGGCCAGGCUGGCCCGCCGCUCCCCAAGAAGGGCAUCCUCAAGAAGGCACGCCAGCGGGAGUCCGGCUACUACUCCUCGCCUGAGCCCAGCGAGUCUGGGGAGCUCUUGGAUGCCGGGGACGUGUUUGUGAGUGGGGAUACGGAUGCCGGGAACGUGUUUGUGAGUGGGGAUACCAUGGAGCACAAGCCCCCUCCAGCCUCGGGGCGGCCGCCGCAUCGCAAGGGUAUUCUCAAACACAAUGGCAAGUUCUCGCACGCGGCCCUGGAGCACACAGCGCCCACCGCCUUCGGCUCUUUGGAUGAACUGGCCUCCCCACGCCCUCCAGCCCGGGCCAGCCACCCCUCGGGGGCUGUGAGUGAGGAUAGCAUCCUGUCCUCUGAGUCCUUCGACCAGCUGGACUUGCCCGAACGGCUCCCCGAGCCCCCUCUGCGGGGCUCUGUGUCUGUGGACAACCUCAUGGGGCUGGAUGCACCCCCAUUGGAGGGCCCCGGAAGCCGAGGCCUGAGGCGCUGGAGGCAGGACCCCCUGGGGACUAGCUGCUUUUCUCUGCUGGACUGCCCGGAGGGGACAGAGGGCGGCCAGCAGGGACUGAGGGUCUGCUCGGAGCUCAGCUGA